AAAAUUGAUGCACCCUUGCUCUUGCUGCUUCUAACGCUCACUACACCUAAAAAGGUCAGUAACUUGUGAAGCUUUAAUUUCUAUUGUCCUUUCUUUUCUCGGUCGAUGCCUAGAAGUCAUUAGCUAUCUUAACUAGAAAAUCUGAGUUAGGAUUCAUUUUUAGGCUGACUCUUUAGUUUCUGUUCUCUGUUUACAUGUUCGUGUGUAUGGAGAAAUCAUGACUGUAAGUGUAUUGAGGCUGGCAAUUUAUUUAUUUAUUUAUUAAAUAUGAGUAACAAGUAUUUGUCUGCUUAUAAAUAUGUCCUCUUUCAUUCUUUGAUUCUUGACAUAGUGAUAUGCUAGAAGUAUAUUCUGUUUCUAAGAAAAUAACUCAAACUUGUUAGUGCCAAGAAAUAAAGCAUUAGAGAUCAAGCAAAUAAGUCUAAACAAUUCUCAUAUAACUUAAAGAGAAAAUUCUUUCUUUAAACUGAUAUAAAUUUGUAAUUAGUUUAGCUCAGGAUCAAGUUGCAACUCUCUCCUGACUUCUCUAGUCACACAAAACAUAUAUGGAGCUAAAUUUGUCUUAUAUAUGAUUGCAAAUAGUGUUAGGCACAAAACAUGUAUGGAGCUAAAUUUGUCUUCUAUAUGAUUGCAAAUAGUGUUAGUAUUUAUUUGUUUCUUGUUAGUAAGUACUAGAAUUCUCCUUAAAUAUUAUUUAUUUUUAAUGCUUUGAGUGAGAUUAUGGUUAGUUUUUUUUUAAAAGUAAAAUAACUGUCAGUGUGCUUAAUCAUUGAGUGACAACAAUUUUUAACUUUAAGUAAAUUAAGAGUUGAACGAAGUAUAAUUUGAUUUUGUUUAAUAUUCAUGGGAUGCUUGACUAUCUAAGUGCUGUUAGGAAAGAAAAUCAUUUACUGAACAUUUUUUGUGCUUUGAUGAAUAACUAUAAGGAAGUUUUGAAUUUAGACAUUGAAUUAUAGGAGUUGUAAUGCUAAGAAUAUAGUAGAUGACAAUUGAGCUCAAAAAGAGAUAACUAAAUACUCCAUUGUUGAUAUAUGAAAGCAUGACCUUUGAAAACUUAUUAGUAUUCUGUCUAGAUCUAAUAAGGCUGUACUUUUAUGUUGUUAGAAGCCAUGUAUAAUUUUCCUUUUUAAGAUGACCUAAAGAUCAUGCCUAUAAGCUCUGUCAGUUCCGAAAUAUGUUUUCCUCUAUCUAAGUAUGAAGAAUUUGAACCUUAAUGUGUUUUUGCCUUUAUGAUACUAGAUACAUUAUCUAUGAAUCCGAUAAUUCCUCGCGUUAGUUAUUUUAAAAUACAUUUAUAUUAAAUAUCUUGUAUAAACAAACAAACAACAACCCAGUAUAAUCCCACAUAGUGGGGUAUGGGGAGGUUAGUAUGUACGCAACCUUACCUCUACCCUGGGGUAGAGAGACUGUUUCCAAAUAGACCCCCGGCAUCCUUUUCUCCAAGAACUUCCCACCUUGCUAUUGGGGAGACUCGAACUCACAACCUCUUAUCUAUAUGUAAAGGUUAGUAAUUGGAUACACUUGAGUGUCAUCUUUGUGAUAGACGUCAUGUUCAAAGUCCUCGAAAUACUGAAUCUGCUUCAGGAUAGGAAGAAUGAGUAUUUGGCUUAUUGGUCCAUUGUUGCGAUUUCUAAACAAAAAUGGCAGAUUGACUUUUGUAGUUGAAUAGUAUUAUUUAGAUGCUGUAACUUAGUCAUAAUAUUUUCAUGUCAUAGAGUUGGUCAUUUAAGACCUUGAUGUUAGAGUUAUAGAACAAAAAUCUAUAUUCUUCUUAAAGGAAACAGUUUUAUGUGGAGUAUUUCAUCUUAUAAACUUUUCUGGGAUGGGUUACAUUACGAGUCUUUACUUUCUUAUUAUUUAUCUCUUAUGUAGUAUAAAGAAUCAGAUUCCAUUUUUGUUGAGAUAUAGGCUAUGAUGAUACACUAAUUCUGAGCCUAAUAAUUGGUCAUUUCCUU
rnacentral:lncRNA from 1 species